CGCCACUCGAUUGCAUUAUCGGCGGACUGACGUAAUAUAAAGUAUACCUUAUACUUUAUAUUACGUCAGUCCGCCGAUAAUGCAAUCGAGUGGCA